UGAAAUGGCGUCGCUAGGCGUUGUGGAGUCGUUGUUGAAAUACCACCCUUUGCUUAUCUGAAGCCUAACCUCUUACGAGGAACAGUGCGUGGUGGGUAGUUUGACUGGGGUGGUCGCCUCCAAAAGAGUAUCGGAGGCUUCUAAAGGUACCCUCAGAACGGUUGGUAAUCGUUCGUAGAGUAUAAUGGCAUAAGGGUGCUUGACUGAGAGACAUACAAGUCGACCAGGUACGAAAGUAGAGCAUAGUGAUCCGGCGGUUCCGCAUGGAAGGGCCGUCGCUCAAAGGAUAAAAGGUACUCCGGGAUAACAGGCUGAUCUCCCCCAAGAG
rnacentral:rRNA from 1 species